AGGUUACCCAGCCUUCCAUUCACAGAGGGGCACAGGCGCUGGGCCAGGAACCGGCAGCCGAAGAUGGCAGAGCCAUGGUGGAAGAUGCUGGCUUCUGGCACCUUGCCCUUUCGCCUCGACUCCCUCCCUCCAAGGGUGGCCCAGCCUAACAGGACACACAGACCCGGGUCAUCUACACCAUCACCGUCUACACCUGUAGGAACAGUGUGGCACUGAGCCCCUCUUCCCCUCAACACCCCCAGGGACCAGCAAGUACCCCAGGCUGCCCAGGACCCCUCCCAGCAAAAGCACGGAGCCUCCCCUGAAGCAGGAGACCUCCCUGUCUACAGGCCAAGGACCCCCCACCUUCCCUCCCCACUGGGCCUCCAGGAUGCGGCUGGAGGGGUGCGGCCGACUUCAGCUUUAUUUGCAUCAGCAAAUGCCCACAGUGCCCACACCAUAUUCUUGGUGCUAGGUUUUUGUUUUUAACCUAAAACAGGAAGGUAAGACUAGUAGUACUAGUGAUAUGAUGCAGUGGUCACACUCCACCCCGCCCCAACCUUCUCCAAAAAUCCUACAACUAAGACAAAUAGCAGGGACUGGAGUUGUGGCUCAGCCCUGCCUAGCACGUGUGAGGCCCAGGGUUCAACUCUGAGCAUUGCAUAUACAUAAAUAUAAUAAAGGUCCAUCAACCACUCAAAAAAUUUUUAGAGUUUUAAAAAUAGUGGACCUAUCCUGAAACUGCAGUUUCAGGAGAAACUAUGUGCCCAACUUCCAAGCUUCUGCCCUUCAGCCCAAAGUGGCAGAAUCUAAGAAGUGGCCCCUGAGCAGAGGUGGGAUUCAGUGAAGGGUGAGAAGCCUGAGUCUGGGCCCCACCUACCUACCCCUGCGGCUCCUGCCAUCUCAGGAAGACAGAAGGGCCUGGACUGGUGUUAGAGAAGGGCCUAGAGCAACUCAGCGGGCCACUUGCUUUACCUUCUCCUUCAUAUUCUCCCUCCCCCACCCCAGUGAUGACAGUCACGAGACACCAUGGAUUCCCACUGGGGUGGCAGCCCCCGGAGGUUGGCCUGAGCCCUGGAUGUCCCUGUGAUGCUCCUGGGCCUGGCUCUGAAGGGCUGUGGGCUUUUCUCAGCUGUGCUGGGCUGCUCUCAGGGCCACAGGAUCUGAGGCCACAAGGCCUUCAGACCCCUGUGGGCUCCCCUUCUGGGCAGCCUGGGAGCCAGCUUAGAGAGAACCUUGGGGUCUGCUCCAAGCUGGUGGCACCAUGCAAGGCCUCCAGCAUGUGACAGCCACUCCAUGGUCACAUGGGAUAGAGGUGAAGAGCAGGGGAUCUGGCCCAGACCUCGAGGUAAAAUGCCAAGGCUGUGACUUCCUGGCUCUGAGACCUGAGAGUCCCAUGUCAGUGGGCUUCUGUGAGAGUCAAGGGAUAUGAGGUCCCCGUGGGGCCUACACUUAGUAGGUCCUCAAAGAGAGUUAUUGGGGAUGUCCUGGUGCUGGAGAUGGUGGUGGUGAGGGCAUCCCUCGGGCCUGAAGUUCCUGCCCCACCAUCUGGCUCCCCUGGAUAGGGCACGGGAUGGGCAGGCCCCUUGGUAGACGGCAGUUAGGGAGCGCCGGGCCAUCCCCAUCAGCUGUGAGUUGCUCAGAUCACUUACUGACUUGGGGUUAGUUGGGGUGGAGGCCUCAGAGGCUCUCCAGGGGUGCGGAUGAAUACAAGUCGGGCCUUUGACCAGCCAGCUGCAGAUGGCUGUAGGGGCCUUUGCUGACUUGUGUCCCCAGCAGCAGCCUGACACUGUGGCACAUGCUCACACCCAGGAGCUGCUGCAAAGGUCACCUGGACAUCUGGUGGUGCCGCAAUGUUGCAGGUUUGAAAGGGGACAGGUCUGAACUAAGGAUGGCUCUGCUGGAAGUCCCAAGGACCAAGAAGAGGAGGACCAGAGAACCUACCCAAGGCCCUCCUGGUGUUAGAGAAGGACCGAGAGCAACUCAGCAUGCCAGGGGCCACUACCACUUCCUGAGCAUGUGCUGUGGCCAGGCACUGUGCCUGUCUGGAAGGCCAGUUAGAAGCCAAUGAACUGGGGGAGACAGACAGGAGAUGGAUGAGACAACAGGAAGAGGAAGGGUGUGGGUGGUCGGCCCUGCGUGGAAGUGCAUCACCACGGUGGCCUGCUGCCCGCAGAGAGACUUCCAGCCGAGAGAGUCUGUGGUCUGGGGAGGCUGGCGCUGCCCAGGGCAUCCCUCCCGCCUGCAGCCUGCAGCACAGACCACAGGCCUUGGGGUUGCCAUGGCAACCCCGGCCUGCCGCCCCCACCAUCUCCUGUCUCCCAACCCAGACUGCUCCACCCCAUCAAUUAAUAAACUAAUAAUGUAUGACAACAGUUACCGCAAACACCCAGGCAGCAGCCCUCUCGAAAAUAAACAGCCUCAUCCAGGGAGCUGAGAACUGCGAAGAUUCACCUGACACUCAACCCCAGGCCACCUGCUAAAAUCUAUUUCCCUGAAUCCAAAUUACUCUGUCUCGGGUUUCUCCUUGUUUUAAGGGCACCGUGUUGGCAGAGGCAGGGACUGGAGUCUGAGAGGUUCCUGAGAAACAGAUGCUAGGGAGGCCACCAUAUAGGACACCUGCCUCCUCAGUCUUGAAUGGGGACCAGAGUCGCUGAUUGGGUGAUCAGGCCCUUGUCAUGGACAUCUGGAUCUCAGCUGGUCCUCUCCUGAAGAAGCCCUUCAUCUUUGCAAAGGAUGAAGACAUUCAUGGCACCCAGAGCGGGGGAUAACAAUAACAGGGAAUACUUUCAAGUUGGGGUAGACUCAGGAUGAUGGCAAACUAUUUGCAAUUCCUUUCAUGGAGAGAUGGGAGUCUAGGCUCUGUGACAACUUGACCAGCAGAAUAAGGUGGAAGCAACUCUGUCCCAGCUCAAGCCCAGGCCUCAGAGACCACAGCUCUUGAAACCCAAGUACCACACCGUGAGAAAACCCAAAAGAAACAAGAUCCUGGCUGAUGACUUUGGCUACACUCCCAACUGACAGCCAGGAUCAACCUGCCUGCCAUACAGGUAUAGUGUGAUCACCGAAGACGGUCCUCCAGACCCAGGCAGGCCAUCUCAGCUGAUGCUACAAAGGAGCAGAGAUCAGCCAUCCCCACCAAGCCCUGCCCAAAUCACCGGCCUGUGAGCCAAAUAAAUGGGCAUUCUUUCAAGUAAA